rnacentral:rRNA from 1 species
AGAUUGAACGCUGGCGGCAUGCCUUACACAUGCAAGUCGAACGGCAGCACGGGAGCAAUCCUGGUGGCGAGUGGCGAACGGGUGAGUAAUACAUCGGAACGUGCCCAAUCGUGGGGGAUAACGCAGCGAAAGCUGUGCUAAUACCGCAUAAGAUCUACGGAUGAAAGCAGGGGAUCGCAAGACCUUGCGCGAAUGGAGCGGCCGAUGGCAGAUUAGGUAGUUGGUGAGGUAAAGGCGUCACCAAGCCUUCGAUCUGUAGCUGGUCUGAGAGGACGACCAGCCACACUGGGACUGAGACACGGCCCAGACUCCGUACGGAGGCAGCAGGUGGGUAAUUUGGACAAGUGGCGAAAGCCUGAUCCAGCCAUGCCGCGUGCAGGAUGAAGUCCGUUCGGUUGUAAACGUGUACUUUUGGUAACGUAACGUAAACGUCUACUUUCUAAGUAAAGAGG